rnacentral:misc_RNA from 1 species
AAGUCGUAACAAGGUUUCCGUAGGUGAACCUGCGGAAGGAUCAUUAAUGAUUGACCGAAAGGUCGUAUCUUAACAUCCCUCACCUCUGUGAACCGUUUGACCUCCGGGUCUAACAAACUAUACAAACAUCAGUGUGACGAACGUCUUGUUAUCUUAACAAAAACAAAA